rnacentral:ncRNA from 1 species
ACGGCUGGCUGCUGACUUCUUAGAGAAAAAAAAAAAAAAAAAAAAAAAAAAAAAAAAAAAAAAAAAAAAAAAAAAAAGCCCUUAGAUGUUCUGGGCCGCACGAAAAAAAAAAAAAAAAAAAAAAAAAAAAAAAAAAAAAAAAAAAAAAAAAAAAAAAAAAUUGUGAAACUUGGUCGUGAUGGGGAAAAAAAAUUGCAAUUAUUGCUCUUCAACGAGGAAUACCUAGUAAGCGUAUGUCAUAAAAAAACGUUGAUUACGUCCCUGCCCUUUGUACACACCGCCCGUCGCUACUACCGAUUGGCAGUCUAGACUCUAAUAGGGGUAUUUUUGAUCAAGAGUUUGUGGAGUGUAUCGAUCUCCCUCUAUUAUCUGGUUCCAUUCAAGCACUUAAAUGUGGAGAGUUUGGCAGGUUCAUUGAGAUCUGGGAGGUAGGUGAUGAUUGAUUUGAUCUUCCGUUAUCUCCUGCAGACAGCCAGAGCUAUUAAUAGGGGGUCGUGCUAAGGUCACUAUGUACACAGGACAAAC